rnacentral:rRNA from 1 species
AUUGAACGCUGGCGGCAGGCUUAACACAUGCAAGUCGAGCGGGGGAAGGUAGCUUGCUACCGGACCUAGCGGCGGACGGGUGAGUAAUGCUUAGGAAUCUGCCUAUUAGUGGGGGACAACAUCUCGAAAGGGAUGCUAACACCGCAUACGUCCUACGGGAGAAAGCAGGGGAUCACUUGUGACCUUGCGCUAAUAGAUGAGCCUAAGUCGGAUUAGCUAGUUGGUGGGGUAAAGGCCUACCAAGGCGACGAUCUGUAGCGGGUCUGAGAGGAUGAUCCGCCACACUGGGACUGAGACACGGCCCAGACUCCUGCGGGAGGCAGCAGUGGGGAAUAUUGGACAAUGGGGGGAACCCUGAUCCAGCCAUGCCGCGUGUGUGAAGAAGGCCUUAUGGUUGUAAAGCACUUUAAGCGAGGAGGAGGCUCUUUUGGUUAAUACCCAAGAUGAGUGGACGUUACUCGCAGAAUAAGCACCGGCUAACUCUGUGCCAGCAGCCGCCGUAA